UGAUGUAUGCACAUUGUGGCUGUUCUGGUUAAUUAGAAAGUUGCUGAGUUCUAUCUGAUUAAUACUAGUUUGAGACGGCGGUCGAGCCAGUUGUAACUGUUGUCAUCUGAUGAUCGAUCAUAUAUCAUAACAGUUAUCAUAUAGCAUGAGAAUUAUGUUGAGAGAUAUGACUUGAAAGUGACACGAAGAUUUUUAUUGGAUAUUUUGCUAUAAUCAUGUCAUAAGUUGGAAUUUUAAUUAUUUCAUGGCUGGAUUGAAUUUAUUUUU